GCAGGGUUAGUACAUCGGUAGUAUGCGAGCUUCCCAAGCUCGAGAGGCGGGUUCGAUUCCCGUACCCUGCU
rnacentral:tRNA from 2 species